UAUCCGGAAUCAUUGGGCGUAAAGCGCCUGUAGGUUGUUUAAUAAGUCUGUUGUUAAAGCCUAGGGCUUAACCCUAGAAAAGCAAUGGAAACUACUAGACUAGAGUAUGGCAGGGGCAGAGGGAAUCUCUAGUGUAGCGGUGAAAUGCGUAGAUAUUAGAAAGAACACCGGUGGCGAAAGCGCUCUGCUGGACCAUUACUGACACUCAGAGGCGAAAGCUAGGGUAGCAAAAGGGAUUAGAUACCCCUGUAGUCCUAGCCGUAAACGAUGGAUACUAGAUGUUGUGCAUAAUGUACAGUAUCGCAGCUAACGCGUUAAGUAUCCCGCCUGGGGAGUACGCUCGCAAGGGUGAAACUCAAAGGAAUUGACGGGGGCCCGCACAAGCGGUGGAGCAUGUGGUUUAAUUCGAUGCAACGCGAAGAACCUUACCAGGGCUUGACAUACUACAGAUUCUUUAGAGAUAAAGAAGUGCCUUCGGGAAUGUAGAUACAGGUGGUGCAUGGCUGUCGUCAGCUCGUGUCGUGAGAUGUUGGGUUAAGUCCCGCAACGAGCGCAACCCUUAUUUUUAGUUACUAAUUCGUUAGGUUCUCUAGAAAGACUGCCGGUGACAAACCGGAGGAAGGUGAGGAUGACGUCAAGUCAGCAUGCCCCUUAUGCCCUGGGCUACACACGUGCUACAAUGGUUAAGACAAAGAGUCGCGAGCUCGCGAGAGUCAGCUAAUCUCAUAAACUUAGCCUAAGUUCAGAUUGUAGGCUGCAACU
rnacentral:rRNA from 1 species